AAGAGCUAGUAAAGAAAAUAAAUAAGUAGGAAAGUGAAGCAGGAGGGAGAUCACCCACUCGCCACAAGGAGAUGCUUUUUUAUAUUCUUGAUCAUCUUCCACCCAUACCUGAAAAUUUUUUUUUU